GCAGAAACAUUCCAGCCAAUAAGCAGCAGACCCUCCCUCCCAGACCCUCCCACCUCCUGGACAGCAUCCAUUGUGAAGCUGCAUUCUUAGUGAGCUGUCCAGGAGGUGGGAGGGUCUGGGAGGGAGGGUCUGCUGCUGAUUGGCUGGAAUGUGUCUG